GGGCGCGCGCAGCUGAAGCGUUUCGUCGCCGUUGCUGGCCGCAAUGCCCAGUCCCCGUGUGUGUCUCUCCGGCUCCGCCCGGAGCAGGGUAACGGUGCCGCCGUCACCAGGGGAGCGAUUGUGUCAUAAAUCUGCUUCCUGAAACCCGCUGCCGCGUGGAUCGGGGUGGGAGCGGGAGGCCGCGGGGAAGCUGCCCCGGUUGGGUUCCGUGGCUUGGGCUCGGGGAGCGGGGAGGAAGGGGGCUCCCCUCGGGGCGGCCCCUGAGCCCGGGCGCUAGGCACAGCCGAGCCCGAGGGCCCCAAAGCUACCGAGAGCGCUGUGCAGAUGCGCUGUUAUUGAAGUGACACACCGAGCCGGAUGUAAGGGCAGACUGUGGUUGGAUGUAAGUGUCACAGCUCUGGGCACCCCUAGGGAACUGCAAGGCCAGAAAGUUGGCAGAUGGUCGCGCUGGGUGAGGCUCGUGCCGGGGUAGGGCUAAGCGCGUGCCUCACAAAACUGGUUUGUUACCAUGGCAACUUACCACACCCUCGGCCUUCAGCCACUUCGUAAGGGUGGUGCUGUGCUAACCGCAGGGAGGUCUCAGGAGAGGAUUGCAGCAGUUAAACUCAGACUGAGGGGGGGGCUGCGCCCUGUGCUGCUCCUGCCCUGCCCCGUGGGGCGGACCCUGCGUAGCUGCAGGAGGAGCCAACAGUCAGUGAUGGCUCCAGCUCCUGGGUUGGUCUGCUGCUUCUUAAAGGAGAGAAAAAAUGAAGAGCAAUGUUGCCACUGAGAUCCGUCUGCAGCUGAGGAUGGUUAAGAAGGAAUUGAAGGGUCGGGUCGUGUGUGUGCUACAUGAGGCACCAACAGCACUGUGAGACAACUUCUGUGCAUGUGCGUCUCAACCGAGCACUGCUACGGAAAAUCUCCGAUCUGCGGCGCAGGGAUGCACCAACACCUAAAGUGGAGCACCCACAGGUACACACAUCUUGAAGAACCAUCGUUACUGCACAAGCCUGCUGCAGGACUCCAGAGCUGAACUUGUUCUGUGCAACAUCCUGCCCUCUGGAGGAGACCAACCCUAGAGAGAAGUUGACAGGACUGCCAUCCACAGUGUACUCUGAGGAGACAGAGGACCCUUGGACUAUGGAACCCCCAUGCCCAGACUGUGGUAGGAAAUAGCCCAGGGAAGCCAGACUUUGGUCUGGUUUUGUUGCCGGAGCACAGGUCAGUGUGUUUCGGUAGGUUCCCCGCUGACCCAGUGGUGGAACCCUUCAUCACUUUCAGGGCCCUGGGCUGGAACCCAAUGGAGCAGGGUGGGCCCAGGUCCCCCUAAUCCCUGCCACUAACUUCACCCCUAUGAUGCUGCUCUAUUCCCUCCUAGGCCAGAAGGCCUAUGCAUUGCUUGUAGCUUGCCCCAGCUAUGAGACUCUGGGACCCAGAUGGUUUGUUUCCAGGCUGUCUUAGCUUGAAGGCUUAGGCUAAAGACUGCUACCUGCUCUGCCCUGCCCAGAGGGCCAGAACUUCCCUUAUAGACUGUUAAUUGCCCUCUGCCUCAGCCAGCAGGCUGUCCUCUAAAGACUGCUUAUGCUCUGCCCACCUAAAGGGCCAGAGCUCUAGACUCUUGAUUUGUAGCAGCCCUAGCUGGGAGACUCUGGGCUAAAGACUGCUUACUGCUCUGUCCCAUCUGAGGAGGCUAGAGAGCUACAGACUAUUGGCUAGGAGGCUACCAGCUAUAGUCUGCUUAUUGCUCGGCCCCACCAGUGGGACCUGAGCCUGAGUGCUGCUGUCUGAUGCAGUGAGGCAGAGUGGCCUCCCUCCCCACUUGAGAGCAAGGGACCACUACAAUAGUAUAGUUACCCUCCCUCAUGGGAAAAACCCUAUUCUAAGGGGCAUGCCUGGCACCCUGGGUUUUAAACUUCGCUUCAGUUGCUGGUUGUCUAACCUGGUCUCUGACCGGCACGCCCAAUGUGUUUGUUAUCUUGGCAAGACACAAUUCCUCAAAAAUGCUCCCACUGCCACAAUUUGAAAUCCCCUGCCAGGAGGGCGAGAGAUAUAAAGCUAAAACUCCUCAUGAGGGAGAAGUCUCUGCAUCCAGCAUCUGAUCCUGGAUACUGGACCCCUCCUGGUCACCAGUCUCCAAUGGCGACAUUUGAAAGAGAUUCCCCACCACCGUCUCAAAGGAAGGGGCACUUCUCCCAAAAGGCAAAGAAGAAAUGGGCUCCGACAUCCCCGUCUCGGGAAGCUGCCAAAAAGAGACCCCCUCCUCCCCCAUCAGACUACUUCAGUACUAUCCGCACCAAUACCAUCCACCUCUGAGGUAGUGGGACCAUCUGGUCCCGUGGGUACCAUGCGAGCAAAAGACCCAAAGUGGACUGUCUCAGAAAAAGUCAAAAAAAAAAGGAGGGGGGAACCUACCAGCCUUGCCUCGGUACCAUUGGAGCUGCGUAAACUUGCGGCAACGAGCAGCUGGGCAGCACUAUGCUCUGUGGUGCCACCUCGUGCCUCCACAGCACAUAGCGCAUUAUUCUUGGCACUGAUAACCACAGUAAAGGGGCCAGUACUGCCAACAACACCUCCUUGGUACCAAUGCUCUCAGUACUGCAGUAGUUUCUCCGCCAUAAAGAUCUGAUCUCCUCGGCACCAGAAUCUCCACUCUUCUGUACCGACCCUAUGCCAGCAUGCUCAGUACUGUGCUAUCUUACCACACCACCCAGAUCAGUUCCUCCCUGAUCCAGUGACGAGGAGGAUUGUGAUGGGCAAGUCUACUCUUCCCAUCACUCCUUGCCUAUCCACACAGCUACCAGACCAGCUCCGCUAGAGGAUCAUGAAUACCACCCCAGACCUGAAAUUCAAGGGUGGUACAGAUACCAUGGAUGCCACCACCAAUGCCAUUCCCACCACAGUGGCCUUACUGGGACCGAGGGGAAGCGUACCACCAACACUACCAUAAGCCUCCCAGCCCACACUGGGAGAGGUUGAGGCAUUCUCCAUCACCCUCUGUACCUGGUCCCUCUGAACCUCCAGAAGAGGCAGUUGAGGAACUGGAGGAGACAUUGGAUCAAGAAGUCACCCUAGCUGCCAGUUUUUCAUCUUUCUCUCCAGAUGAAGCUAUCCUGCCCUCACCACCCACGUCUGGGGAUGAUUUUAAACAGUUCCAAGAACUGUUCAAGAGGGUCACAGAUUCACUGGAGAUACGGCUGGAAGAGAUUGUGGAGUCCCAGCAUAAGUUGUUCGAUAUCCUCCAGAUUUCAACCUCUUCCAGGAUUGCCCUCCCAAUAAAGAAGGCUCUCAUGGAUCCAGCCAAAACCAGUUCCCAGACCCCAGUAACAAUUCCACCCACUUGCAAAAGAGCAGAUAAAAAAUGCUAUGUACCUUCCAAGGGAAUGGAAUUUCUAUUUUCACAACCUACACCAAUCUGUCUGGCGAUAAAAGCUGUGAACGAGCGGAACAGACAACAACUUUCCAGGGCCACCCCAUCUGACGGUGAUUGGAAGAGAUUGGACCUUUUUGGUCAUAAAGCUUACUCUGCAGCGACCCUACAAUUCAGGAUCGCAAAUUAUGAAGCAUUAAUGGCCAAAUCCAAUCAAUCCAAUUACUCAAAAAUGUCUGAUUUAUUGAGCACAUACCUGAGGACAAAAAGGGAAAAUUUUAAGUUUUUUAUAUCUGAGGGUCAACUACUAGUUUGCACAGUUUUACAAGCUUCACUGGACUCAGCAGACACAGUGGCACGCUCCAUAGUAAUGUGAUGAGUUUCCUGGCUCCAUCUCUCCAUCAAGGCUGGCUCAGAACAGUAUAUCCCCCACACAGACACAGUAUAAACAAACGUCUUACGAUGUCAACCAACAUAAAAAAAUUCUCUACAUUAGUGGGCUCAAUCACCCAACAUUUGCACAGGAGUUCCCUUCGCACAGACCUCUCCAUCAAUGAUGCUCAUUACAGAUGCUUCUCUGCUAGGCUGGGAAGCACAUCAGCACAACCACACAAUCCAAGGCUACUAGUCUGCAUCAGAAUCAACACUACAGAUAAACCUACUGGAGCUGUGGGCAGUCCACAAUGCAUACUCACGCUUCCUAUCCACGAUCAGGGACAAGACCAUGAAGAUGCUGACAGACAACAUCACCUGUAUGUUUUCUAUAAACCGCCAUGGAGGGGCACGGUCACACUCCCUAUGCACAGAAGCCAUCCUACUAUGGAACUGGUGUAUCUGCCAGAACAUUGACAUCUCAGCCUCCUACCUACCAGGAUGCCAAAACCCAUUGCAGAUGCACUGAGCAGAAAAAUUUUCUAGGACCAUGAGUGGGAAAUAAACACUAGGGUACUGCAGGACAUAUUCAAACAAUGGGGUUCCCAACUAUAGACUUAUUUGUGACAAAUCAGAACUCCAGGUGCCCACAUUUCUGUUCCAGAGCGGGACUGGGACCCUGUUCUAUCAGUGACACUUUCUUCCUAAAAUGGGAUACACAUCUACUGUACGCUUUCCCCCCCCGACCCCUCUCCUAUCCAGACUCAUACACAAGCUAAGGACCGACCAGUCCAGAAUCAUCUUGAUAGUCCCCAUGAGGCCCAGACAAAUGUGGUUUCCUUACCUCUUGAAGAUGUAAGGAGUGAGCCCACCAUGCACUCUUCCACAUCUACCUCAUCUUCUGUCUCAGGAUGCAGGCCAGGUCUACCUCCCGAAUCUGGCAAGACUCCACCUGAAUGUAUGGUUACUUCAUGGUUCUGAGAUAAUGAAAUGACCUGUUCAGAAGAGGUAAGGGACAUUCUUUUAAACAGCAGAAGGUAUACUACAUGGUAUACCUACUUGCACAAAUGGAAGAGAUUCCAUGUAUGGUGCCAAAAUAGGCAAACAAUGGCAACUACCUGUCCUUUACCAAUGGUAUUCAACUAUGUAUUGGAGCUCCAACAAUCUGGCCUCUCAAUGAGCUUGAUCAGAGUACACCUUGCGGCAAUCAGGGUUUUCCACCACAAAGUGGAUGAGUUCUCAGUCUUCACCCCCCUUUACCACUAAACGCUUCCUUGAGAGCCUUCGUAACCUUUACCCUGAAAUAUGGGCCCCUACUCCAUCAUGGGGCCUCAAUCUGGUGCUGCGUUGUUUUACAGGGGCCCCUUUUGAACCAUUAACAACAUGUUCACUUCUCUACUUUCGAUGAAGGGUGGCCCUUCCUCAUCGCUAGCACAUCCACUUGAUGAGUAGGGGAACUGGGGCCCUUCAUUGCACAGUCCCCAUACACAAUAUUUUUCAAAAACAAAGUUACCCUAAGACCACAUACAAAAUCCCUACCUAAAAUAGUUUCAUUAUUCCAUUUGAAUAAAUCCAUCCAUCUCCCAUUGUUCUUCCCAAAACCUCUUGGGAACAAAUGAGAAGCAAUGCUUCACAUCCUGGAUGUCCGAAGGGCGCUAGCUUUUUACAUUGAAGGGACAAAAUCUUUCAGAAAGUCACAAAAAUUAUUUCUCUCCAUCAUGGAACGAUCUAAGGGAGAUGCCAUAUUCAAACAGAUGCUGUUGAAAUGGAUCUCUGGUUGCAUUGAUUUUUGGUAUUGCCAGCAACAGUUACAACCCGCACCAGGGACUUGCACACUGUCCACCAGAGCACUCUCUACAUCAAUAACCUUCCUCAACAAUGUGCCUAUCAUGGAUGUCUGCAAAGCAGCAACCUGGGCAUCCACCCAUACGUUCACACAGCACUGUGCCAUAGAGCAGCACUUGUCAUCAGACGCUCUACUCUGACUUGCGGUUUUAUCAUUCACCACAACUACAAUUCUCAAAAACCUUCCUUCCAACAAGGGACACUGCUGUACAGUCACCUAAAGUGCAGCACCCACUGGGACACUCCUUGAAGAAAAAGAGAAGGUUACUCACUCUGUGCAGUAACUGAGGUUACUCUAGGCUUUUAUUGCUGUGUAGACAAAGUCUGUGUGGCUCAAAAUCUUGUCUCUUUCACCAACAGAAGUUGGUCCAAUAAAAAAUAUUACCUUACCUAUUUUGUGUUUCUAAUAUCCUGGGACUGACACGGCUACAGUUUCACUGCAUACAUAAAUCUGUAUGUCAGUUAAUCAACUUUUCUCAAAAAGGGUCAUGUAACUUUUGAGAUACUGUGCUUCCAUAAGUUAACAUACCUAUUUUUUCAACCCAACUUUCGGAGAUUUGUUAUAUUCACAAUGCCUUUGACAGUUCACUCUUAUGAGAGUCACCAUGGUCUGGAGCACAGAGCACCGGACUAGGAGUCAGGAGAACCUAUUUCCCACUCUACCAUUGACCUACUCUGUGACCUUGGGCAAGUCACUUCACCUUUCUGUGUCCACUUACCUUCCCACUCUUUGUUUGUCUUUUCUAUUUAGAUUGUAAACAGUGGAGAGCAGGGACUCUUUUUUACUAUGUGUUUGUACUGUGCCUAGCAGUAGGGGGCCCUAGUCUCAGCUGGGUCUUCUAAACACUACCUCAAAACAAAUAAUUAUUUGACAUAUGUGGGGUCAAUUUUGCUGGAAUUCUUUUUCAUUCCUCAAAAGGUUUGAACUAUCAGUUCUGCAUUUUUGACUUUGUGUCCCAGUCCUACUUGCAAAAAUAUUUUUUAAAAUAAGGUAGCUAUUGUUUGCACCUAA